rnacentral:lncRNA from 1 species
CUCGCACUAUGUUGCUAAGAGCAUUAAUGGUGCAAAACUAAUGGUAACUCCGUGACUGGCCACAACCAGUUUGUUAUAGGCUUCAAAAAUACGUUUAUGUAUUUGUUUUGCAAGAUUCAUGAUGUGAAAUUGUGUUGCAACAGUUCUUGUUAUAUUUGGGUAUGGUUGUAUUUUUGCCAACUAAACACACUCAGUAUAUAAUUGGUCUUCGCUUCAGUUUUAUUCUUAUUCUUAUUUAGUGUCCUUUAUCUGAAAUCUUUCAUUACACCUCCUAUGUUCUGUUUAGUCCAUUCUGUCUUUCCGUGGUAUGUAUCCUUAUCUGCACAUGCAUUUGUAUCUGUAUCUGUGUUUGUGUAUGUGUGCAUGUCUAUGUGUUUUGUGUGCAUGCAUGUGGGCUUGUUUACUACACUGUUUGCACCUGCAUCUUUUAUUUAGUUAUUUUUUAUUCAUUUAUUUGCUUAUUAAUAUUUUUUUCAUAUUCUAUCUUUAGUAUGUAUAUAUGUGUCUUGUGCAUGUGUAUAGAUUUAUGUAUUAUACUGUUUGUAAGUGGUUUUUUUCUUCUCUCAUUCUGUCUUUAGUCGUCAGGUUGCAUAGUGCAGAUGAAUACAUGAGUGUUAUUCCAUUCAUGUUUUCUGUUGAGGCUCAGUCUGAGUAUUAUUAUGUGUGUGGCUUCUGUAAUCCAAGUGUUGUGUCUGUUCUAUGUAACCAGCAAUGAAGAAAUUUCCUUCAUGUACUAUGACAGAAAUUGUAAAAAAUUCAUUUUACCUGUCCUUUUACCUUACUCUUUUAAAACUUCAUUGUAGGCAUCAGCCAACUACCCAUUGUGCUUAUGCUUUAAGAUAUACUGAUGUAGCUUUAAGGUGUGAACCAACCAUUCACCAAAGAGGAGAGUGAUUUGUUGGAAAAACACUUUCCUCUCAUACAAACGGUCAGUCUUGAAAUGUCAGAUUCUCCUCCACUGGAGAAUGAAAUUAUCCAAAUUCAUGGGAAUAAUAUUUGAAAUUUUACUGUUGCAUAUACAGCUGCCUGCUGGAACUUGACUAAAUUACAGUCAUGUUCUUUCUUUGUGUCACCUCUGAUAAUGAUGUCAUCAAUGUAACAAUAGGUCUUUUGAAGAGAAUUAUCCUGAAUGAAUGAAUCUAUAAUGCAUUGAAAGAUGGUGACAGCAUUGGUACACACAAAUGGUAGGCAAGUAAAUUUGAACAGUUUGCUAUAGGCUUCAAAAACUGUCAUGGAAUUUGAUGAUAGCCUUCCUUCAAGUUGACAGUAGAGAAGUAAUAAUUGUACGUGAUUCUUUCGAGUUAGCUGCAGGAUAAGCGUCAAUAGGACUAAAGCAAUUUAUGGUGUUGGAAUAGUCAACUAUUAGUCUUAAUUCUUGACAUGAUGAAUGACUGUGUGCUCCACGCACUUCUAGUUUCCUGAAUAAUCCCAUUUUCAACAUUCUUUUCAUUUAACCUUCGAUGAACUCUCUAUGACAGUGAUUUCUUCACGAUUUCGUAGCGAUCGAUAUUAAUUUGGACAUAUAAUGUUGGCAACUUAAUUCCUUAAGCACUGCUUUGUUAUACCAUCCAUCCCACUCUAGUGUGACUAAACACAAUCUUAAAUGCUUUUUAUUGGCUAAAAGGAUGGCAUUUUUUGACAUUGUUGGAAAAAGCCCAAACGCUAUGGCCAGAUCUAGACAAAUAAAGACCCUAUCUGAUUCAGCAUCCAGUAGAGUGUGUGAUCAUUUAACUUAUUGCCCAGUGUCCUUUUUGGUGGCAGUUAUUACAGGUAGAGUUUGAAUGAAUAGGUCCACUAGACCAGUAGAAGGAUCAUUCUGAAGCUACCAGAACUGGAGGGCAUGAAGGAUUCAUCAUUGACAAGUUCCUUGCAUCCUUGUUGGCCAAUUCCAUUGUUAAAGCAAGUUUUACCAAUAAUUCUAGGUCGUCUUCGGUAGACUCAAGUAACUAUUGAUGAAUGGUCGAUGAACUUAUUCCUGAGAUGCAAGCAUCGCAAAUUAAUAAGUCAUGAUAUUCUGCACUUAGACACUUCCUUGCAAUAUUUUUCAGGUCUAUCAACUGGUCUUCUGCUUGAGUUUGGUUACGUAAUCUGUAUCAAGCCAUAAUAGAAAAUGUGUUUUUGAUAAGGAGAUUGAGGACUUCCUGGAAUAAGGUACACUCAUUGACAGCACUGAAGGGAAAAAGCAGUUCGGUGAGUAUUUUGCU